UGCACGCAUGACUAUAAGUCGCUUUUGAUAAAAGCAUCUGUUAAACGGCAUAUA
rfam:Salmo salar isolate Sally breed double haploid chromosome ssa03, whole genome shotgun sequence.